rnacentral:rRNA from 1 species
CUCACAAGGCUCACGAGGAUACUCAGCCACAGAGCGCAUGAAGACGUGGUACUGCGAAUGUCUCGGAAUGGAGCCACUUGUAUCCGGGAUUUCCGAAUGGGAACCCAUGUACGCCACUGAUAUAUAGUGUGCAGCUACCACGACUGAACCUAAGCU